rnacentral:lncRNA from 1 species
GUUGAAGUUCAAAAAAACAAAAUCUUCUUCCAUUGUAAAAAAAAAAAAAAAAAAAAAAAGGGAAAAGGAAAUAAGUAGCCCAACACAAAGCUCACAAGAAUUUGAAGGUAAGCUUUCCCCCAUGCUUAAUUAACUCCAACAUCAACAACAAUGGUAUUUGAAUUUUGAAGAACUAAUAAGCUGCGUCCCAAGCUCUAAAAGAAACCAAUUAUAUGUAAACAUAUUUACUUUGGAACUAAUAAAUAUAGAUUAAUCUGUUAUGAAAACCAUGGCCAAAGCUGAGAAGCUUUUUUCAUUGGUUCAAGUUACUAAAUAUUAGACAAUUAUUAUCCCCUUAACCUUUGACUCAAAACAAUCAACCUUGUAUACAGGCUCGCUAUCAAUAAAUAUCUCAAUGCUCAAAAAACGUUCUCUUUUACAUUAACCUUUGUCUUCAACUUAAUACACAAAUGGGCUGCCCCAUAUAAUCGAAUUCAAAGAAAAACGAUCCCUAAAAUCAGACAACUCAAAACGACAAUUUGUACAAAAAAAAAAGGUAAAUGCAAAACAAAAUCUUCAAAAAUGCGAAAUCUGAAUCCUUUUUUCCAACUCAAAUCUUAGCCCAAGGAAUUUAAUCUAUAUCCAUAUAAUCGAAUUCAAAGAAAAACCCAGAAAGCACAAAGACUAACCAACAACGCAAAAUCUGAAAACCAGAAAACACGAAAUCUGGAAAUCCAAAUAGAUAAGAAACGUCGGUGGGGGAAGGCAACAAGAUGGAGAGGCGGAGAGAGGAGUCGCCGUUGGUCGAUGCUGGAAGGCGGCGAGACGCAAAGGCGGAGAGAUGAGAGUUGCCGGUCGUGAGGAGUAAAAUUCAUCAUUUGAGAAUUAUGACCGGAGUGUUUUUUUCUAUUCAUCCAUUAAUAGUCCAAAACUUGGAGGGAAGAAAAAAAAAAAAAAAAAAAAAAGGGACAAUAAAAGUUAUUUUGGUUGGCCCAAAUCUCAUUUCAGGUUUUUGCAACGUUUCAUAAAGAAAGAGAAUUUUUUGCAACGUUUCAUAAACGUUGCGAAAAAUAAAACUUUUCUUAACACUGAAUAAACAUUGCAAAAAGGCAACAUUAGCAACAUUCAUCUAAAAAAUGUUGCCAAAUCUGAAUUAUGCUAAGCAAUGGCAACAUUUAUGUACUGGAAUGUUGCGAUAGACCUCUUUAGCAACAUUUACUUAAUGAAUGUUGCAUUUUGCAUGUUGCAAAAAGCCAUUUUUGUUAUAGUGAGAAAAACAGUGGAUCAUAUGACUAUAAGGUCAACUGAUAAUGUAUGACAUUAUCAAAGGAAAAAUACUUUGCUACUAGAUAUUUUAGAAAAUAUUUAUGGUUCUUAUGUUAUCUUCGAUGUACAAUGCCUCGAUAUAUACACCAACGCUAGGGCUACAAAAAGAAGCUUGUCGACUAGUUAAUUUUGCAUCUAAUUACAAUCAGUACUGAACAAGCUAUCAACUUAAUUAUAUAAGCAACUAAUGUGGCCAAUUAAGCUGCCGUUAUUUUCGUGAUAUUCCACAAAACAUUCUCGUAAACUCUCUCUAGAAUGUAACAAUGCAGAAACCAAUGUGAAUGGGUCUUGCCAUGCUGCCAAUGAAUGAUACAAACAUCAGCUAACAAUACAUUAUGAUCUCAUUAUUGGUGGUAAUAAGCCAUUAUGAGAAUCCAUUCAAGAACCAAGACCAUGUAAAGGCAGAGAGCUUUGAAUUAUUCUACAAAACUAUGAAAAGAUCAAUCAAAAGAUCUAGAUAUUAUCAUAAAUAUCAGAAGAAGUGACAAGACUAUCUUCUGUCAUAUUUUACCUAUCCAUUGCUAAUAUUGCAAAUAAAAAACAAAAACAUUUAAAAAAAACCCAAUAAUAUAAGCAUAUGUUUUCAAGAAUAAAGAAAGGACUCCUAGAUUGUAUCUAGUUAAGUGAUCAUUUCUGCACUCUUGGGUCAUAAAAUUCCUCAAUCAAAUCAAAUAUCCAACUCAGGCAGUUGAGUGCAACAUCAUAAAAAUUCCUCUGUUGACAACCCCAUAAUAUUUUGUCUUGACCUUUACUUAUUAUUAACCAUACGGUAUCAAAUGUGUAAAUUUUACACUUAUUUGAGCCUUAGAUCUUAUGAUUUUGUAGGAAGUUUAACUCGAAUCAACUCAGGUCUUUCUUUGUAGGAUGAAUCUUGGUGCAGGGCCCUGUUUUUGAGGACAAAUAAAAAGACAGAAGACAUUUGGCGUGGGACCGGAAGUGGCCAUGAAGAGAAGAUGACUUACGAAGAAUUGACCGAAGGAGUGGCGCACACAAGUGCACUAGGUCCUGAUAUUUACAGAUCAAUAGUGUGAGCAUGUUCGCCAACCACCUGAUGAUGGAAGGCUUGAAGCACACGUACCGGCCUACUGUAAUGUGUAUAAUUAUAUAGGUUUCUUCAGUGAGCUUGGUUGUAGAAUCAGACCUGAAUUCUAUUUUUGCAUGAUUUUAAAGCGUAUUUUGGAUAUUUUAGGAUGAAAUUUGGAGGUAAAUUCUCAAAUCUCUCCAGCACGAACCUUUCCUUCCAUCUAGAAGUGGAUUUUAUAAGGUUAUUAGUGCCAAAUUUAAAAUUAGCACCAAAAUUCAGCUACUAGAAUCCCACCACUUCAACAAUUACAGUAAUUUCAAGUACUACGAGCCUUAAUCAUAUCAAUUCAUAAUCACACUGAAAAAAUAAAAUAAAAU